UAAGUCGGGACCUAAUCCGAGGCGAAGGCGCAUAGGAGAUGGAGAGCAGGUUGAAAUUCCUGCACCGGCGCAGACCGAUAGAGCGAGGGAGUGACACAAGAAGGAACGUUCGCAUGCGAAUGGAAGAGCAUGUCCAAGCAGGUAGGGAGUGAGCCAGGCAAAUCCGGCCCACGAAAAGCCCGAGACGUGAUGGGGAGGCUGUAGAGAUACAGGCGAAGGAACGGGGACUCGAUUGUCAAGAAAAGCUUCUAGCGAGGGCUGCGGCGCCCGUACCAAAACCGACACAGGUAGGCGAGAAGAGAAUUCUAAGGUGCGCGGGAAAACCCUCGUUAAGGAACUCGGCAAAAUGUAUCCGUAACUUCGGGAAAAGGAUAACCCCGAGUAGGUGAGGACCGGAAGCGGUAGGAGCUGAAAGGGGUGGCACAAGAGAGGCCCAAGCGACUGUUUAGCACAAACACAGGCGUCUGCAAAAGCGAAAGCUGACGUAUAGAUGCUGACACCUGCCCGGUGCCGGAAGGUUAAGAGGACGUGUAAGCUGAAAGGCGAAGCAGAGAAUUGAAGCCCCGGUAAACGGCGGCCGUAACUAUAACGGUCCUAAGGUAGCGAAAUUCCUUGUCGGGUAAGUUCCGACCCGCACGAAAGGUGUAACGAUUUGGGCACUGUCUCAACGAGGGACCCGGUGAAAUUGAAAUACCUGUGAAGAUGCAGGUUACCCGCGACUGGACAGAAAGACCCCAUGGAGCUUUACUGCAACCUAAGAUUGAACUUAGUUAAUGAAUGUACAGGAUAGGUGGGAGACGUAGAACCUAGGACGCCAGUUUUAGGGGAGUCGCUGUUGGGAUACCACCCUUUCAUUAAUUGAUUUCUAACGGGCCGAGUAACGACCGGCCGGACAGUCUUAGGCGGGCAGUUUGACUGGGGCGGUCGCCUCCAAAAGAGUAACGGAGGCGCCCAAAGGUUCCCUCAGAGCGGACGGAAAUCGCUCGAAGAGUGUAAAGGCAGAAGGGAGCUUGACUGCGAGACGGACAGGUCGAGCAGGGACGAAAGUCGGGCUUAGUGAUCCGGUGGUGCCGAGUGGAAGGGCCAUCGCUCAACGGAUAAAAGCUACCCUGGGGAUAACAGGCUAAUCUCUCCCAAGAGUCCAUAUCGACGGGGAGGUUUGGCACCUCGAUGUCGGCUCAUCACAUCCUGGGGCUGAAGCAGGUCCCAAGGGUUGGGCUGUUCGCCCAAUAAAGUGGUACGCGAGCUGGGUUCAG
rnacentral:rRNA from 1 species